rnacentral:lncRNA from 1 species
UAUGUAAAUAGUAGAACCCUAAUCCAAAGUGUAUUAGGAGUAUGUUAGGUUAUGUGUAUUAUAUAUAGGGCUCAUUGUAUCAUGUUUAAUAUCAAUUAUAUAUUUUUCUCCCGUGCUUUCUCACAUGGUAUCAGAGCAAUCGUGAGAAAUUUAUCGCCGUGCAUAAAUUCCAGCGAUUCCGGGAAGUAAAAUCAGUCAUCG